rnacentral:rRNA from 1 species
UGCCAGCAGCCGCGGUAAUACGGAGGGAGCGAGCGUUAAUCGGAAUUACUGGGCGUAAAGCGCGCGUAGGCGGCUUUGUAAGUCGGAUGUGAAAGCCCAGGGCUUAACCCUGGAAUUGCAUUCGAUACUGCAUGGCUAGAGUAUGGUAGAGGGAAGUGGAAUUUCCGGUGUAGCGGUGAAAUGCGUAGAUAUCGGAAGGAACACCAGUGGCGAAGGCAUCUUGCUGGGCACUUUCUGACGCUGAGGGACGAAAGCAUGGGUAGCGAACGGGAUUAGAUA